AGUGAACGCUGGCGGUAGGCCUAACACAUGCAAGUCGAACGGCAGCACAGUAAGAGCUUGCUCUUACGGGUGGCGAGUGGCGGACGGGUGAGGAAUACAUCGGAAUCUACUUUUUCGUGGGGGAUAACGUAGGGAAACUUACGCUAAUACCGCAUACGACCUACGGGUGAAAGCAGGGGAUCUUCGGACCUUUCGCGAUUGAAUGAGCCGAUGUCGGAUUAGCUAGUUGGCGGGGUAAAGGCCCACCAAGGCGACGAUCCGUAGCUGGUCUGAGAGGAUGAUCAGCCACACUGGAACUGAGACACGGUCCAGACUCCUACGGGAAGCAGCAGUGGGGAAUAUUGGACAAUGGGCGCAAGCCUGAUCCAGCCAUACCGCGUGGGUGAAGAAGGCCUUCGGGUUGUAAAGCCCUUUUGUUGGGAAAGAAAAGCAGCAGGUUAAUACCCCGCUGUUCUGACGGUACCCAAAGAAUAAGCACCGGCUAACUUCGUG
rnacentral:rRNA from 1 species